AUGGCCGACGGGGGGUCAAAGUGUAGUAUCUGUUCGUAUCAGCUUAAUAUCUGAUACGGGUUGUAUUUGGACACAAUAUAUUAAACGUAUGCUUGUAAGUUGGCGGAGAGCUUAAAGCGUGCUUCACCUCCGCCGCGGAUCGGCCCAGUAUUGCACUAUAUCUUCGGGAUCGACCCACGUAUG